UCUGGGAUCUCGUGUAUUAACUAGCGACGAGGAAGAGGACAAGGGACAGUCUUUGUGUUACAGGUCACACUCCAAUGACGUAAUGGGCAUGUGUGGUGGAACAGCGGUGGUCCUUCGACGAAUACUCUGCCUCAUCUUAAUUCGGGGUUGCUGCAGUAACGGCAGUGGGGGAGGUAGAAUCCUGGUCUUCCCAGAGGAUGGCAGCCACUGGCUCAACAUGGAGGUUAUCCUCCGAGAGCUCCACUCCAGAGGUCACAACCUCACCGUGCUGCGCUCUGCCAAGAGCUGGUACAUUCCCCAGAAUUCCCCUGUCUACACCUCUAUCACCGUGAACCCUGCUCCUCCUCCGGCGGGUGAGGACCUGGGUCCUGACUUCUACACCAUCCUGAUGCAGCGCUCACUGAAACUCCGCAGGAUGUUACCGGUCCUCCGUUUCCUGGAGCAGCAGAAGGACACGGCGGCCAUGUUGAUGAUGUUUCACAGCGAGGCACUCUGCAUGAUCUCCACCAUCUUGGAUGACUCCGUCCUCGUCGCCAAACUGAGGGUGUCCAGAUUCGACCUGAUGCUCACCGACCCUGCCUUCCCUGCUGGAGUGCUCCUGGCCCAAUACCUAGGCAUGCCCAUGGUUUAUAAUGUCCGCUGGCUCAACGCAGGCGAGGCCCACAUGACUGUUGCCCCCACGCUGCCCUCCUAUGUUCCGAUGUACAACUCCCUGUUCAGCGAUAAUAUGGACCUCCUGCAGAGGACAGAGAACUUCCUGCGUUACCUGGUCAUCCUCCUCCAGGAGCACCUGGUCAUCCUGCCACUCUACGCCAACCUGCUCCAACGUCACUUCCCCCCUGGUGCUGACCUGCUCUCCAUGCAGCGCUCAGCAGACGUGUGGCUGAUGCGGGUCGACUUUGUUUUUGAGUUCCCGCGGCCUACCAUGCCCAAUGUGGUCUAUGUGGGGGGCUUCCAGUGCCGUCCAGCUGAGCCACUUCCUGCUGACCUGGAGGCCUUCAUGCAGAGCUCUGGAAAGCACGGGGUGGUGGUCAUGUCUCUGGGAACGCUGGUGUCUGCCCUGCCUAAGGAGGUGACCGAAGCAGUGGCCCAAGCCUUUGCCAAGCUGCCCCACAAGGUGGUGUGGAGGUUCCUGGGAGAAAGACCAAUUUCCCUGGGGAACAACACCCUGCUACUGGACUGGCUCCCCCAGAACGACCUCCUGGGCCACCCCAAAACCCGCGCCUUCGUGGCUCACGGAGGCACCAACGGCCUGUAUGAGGCCAUCUACCACGGGGUCCCUGUGCUGGGCCUGCCGCUCCUCUUCGACCAGUUUGACAAUGUCCUGCGGCUGCGGGUGCGCGGGGUGGCACGGGUGCUGGAGGCCGCCACUCUCACCACAGAGGACUUCCUGGAGGCCCUAAGGGAUGUGCUGGAGAAUAAGUCCUACCGCCACAACAUGCAGAAGCUCUCUGGCCUGCACCGCGACACGCCCCUGUCCCCGCUUGCCAGUGCCACCUUCUGGAUUGAGUACGUGAUGAGGAACGGUGGAGCGUCCCACCUGCGCACCGAAGCCUACAGCCUGCCCUGGUACUCCUACCACAGCCUGGACGUGGCGGCGCUGCUCUUGGCCCUCAGCGGGGCCUCUCUCUGGGCCUCAGGCUAUGUCUGCAGCAGGCUGUGCUGCAGGAGCUCCAGGAGGAAGACCAAGCUGGAAUGAGACAUGAAUCUAAAGAUGGCCCAAGAUGGGUAUUUUAGAUGUUGUACGUAUUUGACCAUCAAUUGGCACUUUUCUGUCAAAGAUUUUAAAAAUUGCUCAACAGAAUCUUGAGAAAAAUUUGACAAAUUCAAAAAAUAACUCCAAAGCCCACCAUAAAUACAUAAUAACAUUAAAGGGAAGUACAUGACUCAAUAAAAACUGAUGAAAAGUUAUUUAUAUUCAGACUGGCUUUAGGGAAUGUGGUGCCAUGGAACUGUCAGAUUACAUAUUGGAUUUCAGUCUGGUGAGGGAAAGUACAAGAUGACAAAGAUAACAAUCUCCUCUCUAUGAUAUCAUGUGUUAAAAAUACAGCCUAGCCAACAUUGUCUCACACUCCCAUUCUCCUCAAACAAUUUGAAUUGUGUAGUCGUAGCUUUUCCCUGUGCCUGAGCUACAAAGUAAUCUUGGUGUAAAUUAUGACCAUACUGUAUACCACAGUCGUACACAGUCAACAAAUAUGUUUGUUCAAAGGAAAAAUAUGUCACACUCAUACUUUUCCACCUAAAAGCCCCAGUAAGAAGUCUCAAUAAAGAUGUAAUUACUGUCA